rnacentral:rRNA from 1 species
CCUACGGGUGACAGCAGUGAGGAAUAGUGGUCAAUGGGCGCGAGCCUGAACCAGCCAAGUAGCGUGAAGGAUGACUGCCCUACGGGUGGUAAACUUCUUUUAUAAAGGAAUAAAGUGAGGCACGUGUGCCUUUUUGUAUGUACGUUAUGAAUAAGGAUCGGCUAACUCCGUGCCAGCAGCCGCGGGAAUACGGAGGAUCCGAGCGUUAUCCGGAUUUAGUGGGUUUAAAGGGAGCGUAGAUGGGUUGUUAAGUCAGUUGUGAAAGUUUGCGGCUCAACCGUAAAAUUGCAAUUGAUACUGGCAGCCUUGCGUCCAGUUGAGGUUGGCGGCAUUCGUGUUUUCGCGGU